rnacentral:tRNA from 1 species
GCCGGAUUAGCUCAGUGGUAGAGCGGCUCACUCGUAAUGAGCAGGUCGUGGGUUCGACUCCCACUUCCGGCU